rnacentral:rRNA from 1 species
AGUGAACGCUGGCGGUAGGCCUAACACAUGCUAGUCGAACGGCAGCGCAGGAGAGCUUGCUCUCUGGGUGGCGAGUGGCGGACGGGUGAGGAAUACAUCGGAAUCUACUCUGUCGUGGGGGAUAACGUAGGGAAACUUACGCUAAUACCGCAUACGACCUACGGGUGAAAGCAGGGGAUCUUCGGACCUUGCGCGAUUGAAUGAGCCGAUGUCGGAUUAGCUAGUUGGCGGGGUAAAGGCCCACCAAGGCGACGAUCCGUAGCUGGUCUGAGAGGAUGAUCAGCCACACUGGAACUGAGACACGGUCCAGACUCCUACGGGAGGCAGCAGUGGGGAAUAUUGGACAAUGGGCGCAAGCCUGAUCCAGCCAUGCCGCGUGGGUGAAGAAGGCCUUCGGGUUGUAAAGCCCUUUUGUUGGGAAAGAAAUCCAGCUGGCUAAUACCCGGUUGGGAUGACGGUACCCAAAGAAUAAGCACCGGCUAACUUCGUGCCAGCCGCCGCAGUAA